CCUACGGGAGGCAGCAGUGGGGAAUAUUGGACAAUGGGCGCAAGCCUGAUCCAGCCAUACCGCGUGUGUGAAGAAGGCCUUUUGGUUGUAAAGCACUUUAAGCGAGGAGGAGGGCACUUUGGCUAAUACCCGAAUGUGUCGGACGUUACUCGCAGAAUAAGCACCGGCUAACUCUGUGCCAGCAGCCGCGGUAAUACAGAGGGUGCGAGCGUUAAUCGGAAUUACUGGGCGUAAAGCGCGCGUAGGCGGCUUGUUAAGUCGGAUGUGAAAUCCCCGGGCUCAACCUGGGCACUGCAUUCGAUACUGGCAAGCUAGAGUAUGGGAGAGGAAGGUAGAAUUCCAGGUGUAGCGGUGAAAUGCGUAGAGAUCUGGAGGAAUACCGAUGGCGAAGGCAGCCUUCUGGCCUAAUACUGACGCUGAGGUGCGAAAGCAUGGGGAGCAAACAGGAUUAGAUACCCUGGUAGUCCAGUCGAACCGUAANAGNUACAAGUCNCGUUGGGGAACUGAAGUUUCCUAGUUGGGCGUAGCGGAACGUUACGGAGUAAGUUAAAGUUCCCGAACCCGUCGGGUAGGGGUAACGUUACGGCCGAGAAAGCGUAAAAACCGUUCAAAAAGGUUAGUAAGUUACGGGACCGGUUACGAGGAGGACGGACGGACCGGACGGACGACCGACGGGAGGGUUAGGAGG
rnacentral:rRNA from 1 species